rnacentral:rRNA from 1 species
UACGGGGGGGGCAAGCGUUGUUCGGAAUUACUGGGCGUAAAGGGCUCGUAGGCGGCCAACUAAGUCAGACGUGAAAUCCCUCGGCUUAACCGGGGAACUGCGUCUGAUACUGGAUGGCUUGAGUUUGGGAGAGGGAUGCGGAAUUCCAGGUGUAGCGGCGAAAUGCGUAGAUAUCUGGAGGAACACCGGUGGCGAAGGCGGCAUCCUGGACCAACACUGACACUGAGGAGCGAAAGCCAGGGGAGCAAACGGG